AAGACUAUAGACCUGCGGAGUACCUGCGGAAGGAUCAUUACCGAGUGCGGGCCCUCGCGGCCCAACCUCCCACCCUUGUCUCUAUACACCUGUUGCUUUGGCGGGCCCACCGGGGCCACCUGGUCGCCGGGGGACUGUCGUCUCCGGGCCCGCGCCCGCCGAAGCGCUCUGUGAACCCUGAUGAAGAUGGGCUGUCUGAGUACUAUGAAAAUUGUCAAAACUUUCAGCAACGGAUCUCUA
rnacentral:misc_RNA from 1 species